rnacentral:rRNA from 1 species
UACGAAGGGGGCUAGCGUUGUUCGGAAUUACUGGGCGUAAAGCGCGCGCAGGCGGUAAUGUAAGACAGAUGUGAAAUCCCCGGGCUCAACCUGGGAACUGCAUUUGUGACUGCAUCGCUGGAGUGCGGCAGAGGGGGAUGGAAUUCCGCGUGUAGCAGUGAAAUGCGUAGAUAUGCGGAGGAACACCGAUGGCGAAGGCAAUCCCCUGGGCCUGCACUGACGCUCAUGCACGAAAGCGUGGGGAGCAAACAGG